AUUGAACGCUGGCGGCAGGCCUAACACAUGCAAGUCGAACGAGUGGCGGACGGGUGAGUAAUGUAUGGGAAAAUGCCUGAUGGAGGGGGAUAACUACUGGAAACGGUAGCUAAUACCGCAUACCAUCAGCUGUGCCCAGUUGGGAUUAGCUUGUGGGUGGUGUAAAGGCUAACCAAGGCGAAGAUCCCUAGCUGGUCUGAGAGGAGGACCAGCACAACUGGAACUGAUACACGUGCAAGACUCAGAAGGGAGGCAGCAGUGGGGAAUAUUGCACAAUGGGCGCAAGCCUGAUGCAGCCAUGCCGCGUGGAUGAAGAAGGCCUGCGGGUUUUAAAGUACUUUCAGCGGGGAGGCGUUACCCGCAGAAGAAGCACCGGCUAACUCCGUGCCAGCAGCCGCGGUAAUUC
rnacentral:rRNA from 1 species